rnacentral:piRNA from 1 species
UGAGCAAUUUCCUCAGUGCGUGUAUGUGC